GCCGCGGCCUCCGCCGCUGGGCGACGCUCCUCCCUGCCCGCCGUCGGCCGCAGCUCCAAGGGACCGACGCCUUUCUGUCGUGGUUCGAGGGGACUCUGAUCAAACGCUCCCGCGAUGCCACGGUUCUCAGGGUUCCUGCCCGGGGGUCACUCCAAUAACCAGGUGGUUAGUGAAAGCCCAGAGGGAAGCGAGCAAGCGGGAGCCUCAAGUUAAGGCUUUCCCGCUGGGCUUUGCCACGGUGGGUUGUGGAAAGAGCAAUCUGAGCAGAAAAGUUUUGUUUUUUGUUUGUUUGUUUGUUUGUUUUUAUUUUUUGCAGUUGACCAGUAAUAAGCCGACAACUUGAUCUAAGCGCCGUUCUUACACUGACGCGUGCCAAGGGUUUCUGUGCGUGGAUUCUGCUAAAUUGAAACGCAGAGUGGUGGGGCCUCCGUUGUGUUAGUUACCCACCCUGUCUCGCAUCGAAUUCACUCACUACACACACCUGAUACGCUCUCUGUCCUUUUUCUGGGACAGCCGGAUGUUACCCCAUUUUAAAGGAUCUCAUCAAGCUGUGAAUGUUUCCUUGAAAAACUGCAAGCCUAAAAUGGUUCGUACAGGCAAAAUAUAGAAAGAAAACUCCAGCAAGACGCUGAGAAAAUGGACGAUGUUACAAAGAGUUGCAUAGAGAAUGGAAGGCUCUUUCUGCCAACCCCGCUCAGCUGCACAGAAACACUGAAGCCAUGACAGGAAAAGCCUGCCUCUCUCUUGCUGCUAGCACAAAGUGUAGGUGAAGAAGAUGACAUCACAGAGGACAUCAAUAAGGCUGGACUGUCAUCUUCCUGCCACGACAGCAGCAUUCUGCCUAUUCACAGAGAAGAUCCCAUAACAUCAAUUUCUGAUUCAGAAUACAGCUGUCUCUGAGCACCAAAACCUCCAGAUACAUCUCCUCUUCCUAUGCUUAGCUGGUAAAAUACACUUUUCCAUCUCACGCCUUACCCCUCUUUUAACUCCAAGUUGAAGAAAACUAAAAGUUGAACUCAUAGGAUUUUGUAUUAUACACUUGUCUCAGUUAUAUUGCCUAAAUUACAAUUUUUCAAUAAAAUUAUGUCAAAUGUACAGUAUUGUAAAAAAAAGAAAAUACUGGUUAUGGUCCCUGUUCCCAAAAUGAAAGGACCCGAGUCCUGACCCCAUCACCAGUUCCACGACUGUGAAUUAUUCUCCUGGCUCAGCUUUGGUUUGCUGAUCCUGUG